rnacentral:rRNA from 1 species
CGGGUAAGUUCCGACCCGCACGAAAGGCGUAACGAUUUGGGCACUGUCUCAACAACAGACUCGGUGAAAUUGUAAUUCCGGUGAAGAUGCCGGAUACCUGCGACAGGACGGAAAGACCCCAUGGAGCUUUACUGUAGCUUGACAUUGGGGCUUGGUACUACAUGUACAGGAUAGGUGGGAGGCUUUGAAACCAGGACGCCAGUUUUGGCGGAGCCAUCCUUGGGAUACCACCCUUGUAGUACUGGGACUCUAACCAUAGACCAUGAAUCUGGUCUUG